AUUGAACGCUGGCGGCAGGCCUAACACAUGCAAGUCGAACGGUAACAGGAAACAGCUUGCUGUUUCGCUGACGAGUGGCGGACGGGUGAGUAAUGUCUGGGAAACUGCCUGAUGGAGGGGGAUAACUACUGGAAACGGUAGCUAAUACCGCAUAACGUCGCAAGACCAAAGAGGGGGACCUUCGGGCCUCUUGCCAUCGGAUGUGCCCAGAUGGGAUUAGCUUGUUGGUGGGGUAACGGCUCACCAAGGCGACGAUCCCUAGCUGGUCUGAGAGGAUGACCAGCCACACUGGAACUGAGACACGGUCCAGACUCCUACGGGAGGCAGCAGUGGGGAAUAUUGCACAAUGGGCGCAAGCCUGAUGCAGCCAUGCCGCGUGUAUGAAGAAGGCCUUCGGGUUGUAAAGUACUUUCAGCGGGGAGGAAGGGAGUAAAGUUAAUACCUUUGCUCAUUGACGUUACCCGCAGAAGAAGCACCGGCUAACUCCG
rnacentral:rRNA from 1 species